CACGGUCAGUCUGGACUGUGAGCCAGGAUGAGCUCCCUUCCAGCUGGCCGAUCUUCUCCCAUGCGGCCGUCAGCUUGACUUUAAGGGAGCUAAUCUUGGAGGCUUGAGUCCAAGACUGAUCGCUGGCACGUUUACGGAGUUCCUCAAGCUCCAUGAUGAAGUCGGCUUUACUUUUGGUGUAUUCCAUGAAACUUUUCUUGUGGAGGUCUCGAAAGUGAGUAGCCUCUGCGGUGGCCUCUGAAUGGCUCUCCCUCAGCUGGCGA
rnacentral:lncRNA from 1 species